GUGUACGUUAAACUAAACGGCGUUGCGUUAAUGUUAUUUUGAUACUAUAUUUAAUUUUAGGGACACAAAACAACAGAGGGAAGAACCAAACAAACAAUACCCUUUACACAAUACCGCAUUAUUUUGCGUCAUUCAUUUCAUUUCUUCGCUUAUCAUCAGCGACCAAUUUCAGCAGAUUUGGCGCCCCAGGGGUUCGAUCUCGCGGCCUCACGAUCUUUUAAGAAAAAUUGUGAAUCAAAGGUUCAAACCAUUCUGUUUAACGUCAUGGACUUUGUGAAUGAUGAUGGGGAAAAUUUUUGCCCACUCUGCAUGGAGGAAAUGGACUUGACUGAUCGUCAAUUGAAACCUUGCAAAUGUGGUUAUGAGAUAUGUGUUUGGUGUUGGCACCAAGUUAUGGAAGUGGCUGAGAAGGAUAACACUGAAGGGCGCUGCCCUGCUUGUCGGACACCAUAUGACAAGGAAAAAAUAGUCGGAAUGACAGUCAGUUGCGACAGACUGGAUAUGUCUUCUGAGAAGCGGCAGAAGUCGCAAAAGUCGAAGACAAAGGCAUCUGAAAUGCGAAAACAUCUCAGUAAUGUUCGAGUCAUUCAGCGGAACCUUGUUUACAUCAUUGGGAUACCUUCAAAUUUAGCUGAUGAAGAGACUCUUGAACGUCGAGAAUUCUUUGGGCAGUAUGGGAAAGUUCUGAAGGUUUCUAUUUCAAAGCCUAGUGCUAGUAAUCAACAUUCUAGCAGUAAUCCAACUUCAAGUGUAUAUAUUACCUAUAUGAAAGAGGAAGAAGCUAUUCGUUGUAUUCAGGUUGUAAAUGGAUAUGUAUUAGAUGGUAGACCGUUAAAAGCUUGUUUUGGUACUACAAAGUACUGCCAUGCAUGGUUGAAAAAUAUGCCUUGCAACAAUCCAGAUUGCCUAUACCUGCACGAUAUAGGUACUCAAGAAGAUAGUUUCACAAAAGAGGAGAUGGUAUCCACAUGUGCAAGCAAAAUUCCACAGUUCCAUGGUCCUACAAAUUCAUUGCAGCGGCGUGGGGGUAGUUGCCUACCUCCACCAGAACCUGAGGUCUGUAGCACAAACUUGGCUUCCUCAAGUAAACCUUCUGUCAAAACAGUGAUUUCUAAUGUUGGAGGUCAUGCCAAGACUACAGUUGCUAAUGGAUCUACUGGAAAAGCAACUGCCCUACCAGCUGCUGCUUCCUGGGGCUUGCGUGUUACACAGGGGAAGUCAUUACCCACAAAAGCACCAAUUAUCCCAGUUUCCACAAAACUCAAAUCAAGUUCCUCUCAUACAUUGUCAGUUUCUCCACCUUCAAAUUUACCCACAUCGGCUGCUGUGGUAGUAGCAGCAGCAGCUACCCCUUUGUUGCAUUCGGAUCAUAUCCAAUCGUCUUUGGGUGUGGUCAGUUGUAAUGGGUCACAAACAAGUCUACGUUCGCCAUGUUCUCUGACUUCCAAACAGAAUAUGAAGAACCACCAAACAAGGACAAAUUUGACAAAUGGUGCUGCUGUAGAUUCUUCAGCUGUCACAGCAAUUUCAGAAAAACACAUCAGGGAAGAUAGCCCUGAAAGGAGGCCUAGUGAGAGUCAUUUGCAGCAAAACCAUGGAUUUCAAGAAGCUCUUGAAAAGGCAUCUGAUAUCUCAUUACAAAAUUCAUCCCUUACAGGCAAUUCACAUGUACAGAGUGUUGGCAUUGAGAAAUUAGAAUAUGCAUCUGUAUCAUCUGGUCUUAGGACUAGAAGGCUCUCUCAGGAUGGUUCUAUAAAUUUUCAUAACAAUUUUGAUGAUAUAAGUACCUCAACAUCAAAUGAAAGCUCUAGAGCUUUUCACGGUAGUUUCAAUGCCAGCAAGCUUCCGCUGGAUGCAUCAACAGUCUCUGCAAAUUUGUUACAGAGUGAUAGUAACACACUUGAUGAAAAAUUUAUGGUUGAACCCAUGAAGGAAUUUUCUGUCUCAGAUAUUGAAGAUCAUUGCAUUUCAACUGAGCCUGAAGAACAAUGUCCAGGAUCAGUUGCACAAAUGCUUUCAGAAACAGGAAGAUUUUUAAAACAUGGAUCUUCGUUAGAUGCUAAUAAAAGGCCUUUUCUUUCAUGGAGAUCAACCACCAUGGCUGAAUCGUGCAGUGCAAACACAGCCAUAUCAAAAGAUGACUCAAGUACAGUCUUGUCAUUAGAGACUUCGAAUUUGGACAUUCUUAAUGGCAACAGUUACAAAAUUGGCACAGUUGAUGGAAAAUCUGAUUUUUCUAGAGCAAGAUCCGAGGGUUCUAUUUUGACACAUCCAUUUCAAGAUGUUGGCAUUACAGAAGAUAGAAUUAUAAGGGUCAAUGUUCCAGCCAGCGAGCAGAUUGCUGAAGGCAAUUCUAUAUUAGCAAAAUCACAAUACGUGGAAAGACAUGAAAAUGAUAAAACCCACAUUAGGCAUAACAGUGGUACGGACGCUGGGGAGGACAAUAUUAUCUCAGAUAUUCUUAAAUUGAACAUUGACAUUUGGGAAGAUGAUUCAAUAACUAGUCCCCAUGAUGUUGUUACUAAGGCACUGCUUGGUGAGAAAGAAAAGGUUAAUGGUUUACCAAAGGAUAUAUCAAGCUUAAGGAAAUUGCAAAAUAGUGGACAGUCCAGGUUCUCAUUUGCAAGACAUGAUGGAUCUUCUGGAGAAUCAAGUCAGUCAUCAAAGUCCUUAGUUUCUAGCGGACAAUUCCCAGAUACAUGGUCAAAAGGAAAAGAUACUUUGGAUGAGAGAGUUGGUUAUGAUCAAGUCAACAGAUCAUUGAAUGAUAGGACUGCUUUUGAUCAGGAAGAAUAUCAAAUGCUUUCCAACAGAACUGCACCUCCUCCUCUUUCUGGUUCUACUGUUGCACCACCUUCUGUUUCAAGGUCUCAGUUUUCUGCCCCACCGGGCUUCUCAGUUCCAACCAGGGCCCCUCAAGUUCCGCCUCCUGGAUUUUUUCCUCAGUCAAGAGUUGAAAGGCCAUAUGAACCUCCGACUACAACAGUUUUUUCAAAUGGAACUAAAGAUCACAACGAGGCUGUAUUGUCACAAAAUGCUUUUUCUAAUUCGUACCCUUCACUACAUCAGACACUGGGAGUCAAUAACUCUAAUGAUGUGGAAUUCAUUGAUCCUGCAAUAAUGGCUGUUGGAAAAGGCAAAUUUCCUAUAGGACAGAUCCAGCGUGGUUCUGCAGGUCCUGAUUCAGUUUUUAGUGGUCCUAGGCAGGAUUUGUCUGAUUCGAGUUUUAGUCAGUCCUUUCUUGGACUUCGAUCUCCUUUCCCACAACAGGUCAGUUCUGCAGACUAUGAUGCCAGGCUUCAGAUGCUGAAACAAAAACCAUUUUAUACCAACUCAAGUUUGACAUCUCCAAGGCAGCAGUUUACAUUUCAGGACCAGAUUGGAGACAUUUCAUCUUACUUGUCCCGUCAGAGUGAUGCUAUGAUUCCAUCCAUGAUGAGAGAACAAUCUCAAAUGAACCUUGAUUCUGUGUUCUCUCAGCCAUCUUUUCAACAGCCAAUGAAUUUAUCUUUCAGAAGCUCUUCAGUUGGUGCAAAUGGUUGGGAUAGUUGGAACAGAAUGAGUUCUGCACUUGAAUCUGGGCUUGGGGAGAGAAAUUUUUUAGAAAUUGGGAACAAAGAAAGAAUGGGUGCUUGGGAUCCUAAAAGUGGAUUGACCAAGCUCUUUCCAACUUAUGGUGAAUCGAUGUUCCACAUGCCAUGCUCAGAAAAUUAUUACAGUAGACCAUUUGAAAUGUGAAGAGUUGUUCUACUGCUGCCAAGCAGAGUACUAGAGAAUAGCUAUCAUUGAAAAGCUUAAAUGGUGCAAACUGGUAUGUGGUAAUUUUAAAUUGGUUUUAUCCCGUUCAAAGUCCAAACUUCAAAGAUUAAAACUUGCUGACUAACAGGUUCCCACAAAGCAGUGCUCUUUUGAACAAUUUGUUUGAAGAAUAGUCAGUGCUACAUCUUUUGUAUGUUGAUGGGGAAUAUGGAAAUAGCUACAACAGCUAUGCCGCUGUGGAGCCAUGCUUGUUUUUGUUGGCUGUCAUGGAAAUUGCCAUGGCUUAGAUCUGUUGCCCACUGGAGAAUACUUUUUUAUGCUGCUAUGAUACUCUCUGAUUUGUAGGGGUUUUGAAGAAGUUAUUUUAUUGAUACAAAAAUUGGAGUCACACCUCAUUCAUUCCUUAAUAAAUUAUAUAUUGUGGAGAAAACAGUACUCCUGAAUCCUACAUAUUUUCAGUGGUAUGGAGCUGUGGUACAAGAGAACUUCAUAUCAAUGGGGCUUGAGGACGAUGGCUAUUGCAAUGGUGCUUGCCUUUAUUCAUGUGCACCCAGAUAGGCGAUAUUAUUAUAUGGGCUUUUCAUUGUUAUUAAGAUACAUAGCUCAAAUUGUAAUCUGUUGAUGGGUGAGUUCGAAGUGAAGCUAAUUGAGAAAUUUUGAUGUGAGAAAAUCUGGCUUCAAUUAUCUUGCCAAGAGGAAUUAUUGUUGAUCAAAGUGAUGGACAUUGCUGUUCUGCAAUUCUAGGCAUGAAUGUUGCCACUGCUGUGAACUUAAGAGAACAAUGUCUGCUUUUAUGCUAGACCUUGGAUGGAGACCUACUAAGCUUUGAUGCUAUAUGUUCAGAGGAGCAUAUAUUUCUGUAAGUAAUGUUACUCUCAACUGUUGAGAUGUGCUAGAUUUAUGCACCAUCAAGGUUAUUGGGAUGUCAGAUCAGUACUAAUGAUGAAAUUAAUUUUUAUAAUUGUUAGAUGUCUUUGAAUCAGUUGCGAGUCUCUAAAUGUUUAGGAAUUGGCACUUGAAAUUGUAGUUUUGAAAGAUUCUGUUUGUAGCUUUUUUAAUAAAAAUGAUUCUGGAAUGCAUUCAGAGAUUUCUGUUGAUAACUUACUUUUGUAUGUGAAUUCUCUAAAGCAUAGAAGGGCUGCUGUUUAGAAGUUGGUAUAUGGACUAGAUGACACAAACCAUCUCUGUCAAUUGUCUAAAUUUACAUGAAAAAUCUGAUUGAGAAAGUAUGCAUGUUAAAAUAACCCUUGCAAUACGGUAGGUAAUGUUGACCUUAAAACUUCACUAACUUUUGAGUUUCUAGGUUCUAUUGGCAUGGAGUACCUAGAAUAAAGCAGGAUUUUGAGUAUGGAGCAAGUUGCUAGGACUUAAUGUGGCCCACGCAAAAUAUGGUGGGGGAAUAUCAUGAACAAGAAAUUGGACAUGUGGUUUAUGCAUUGGAUAGUGCCUCGUACAGAUGUGGUUGGUUUCUUUGUGAAUCUUGAGAUCUGCUGUCGGGGCUCUGAAGUUGUUCAACUCUACAUUGAACAGAAGUUGGUUUCAUUGAUAGGCGGAGUGACAAUUUAGGAGUACUGUGAUGCUGUUAUGAAUUAAGUGUUUUCUUGUGUUUUCCCUUUCUGAGGAAAUUAUUGUAUUUUGUACGUCAAGGUAAUUUAUCCUGAAUUUUUUAUCCAAGCAAUAUCGUUUGGAAGAUCUCAUUUUUUCUGUUGGUUUUAUUUGGUUCUGUUGAAUCUCGCAGAAGGGUAUAUAUGCCUCUGCUCUAGCCAUCUACGUGGAGUAUUAUUGCAAAUAUUAAUAAUUCAAGUCCUCAAGCAACGAGUGUCCAACUGUUGGAUAUUCUUUUGUUUGAGGUUUGAGGUUUGA